GGAAUCUUCGGCAAUGGACGAAAGUCUGACCGAGCAACGCCGCGUGAGUGAAGAAGGUUUUCGGAUCGUAAAACUCUGUUGGUAAAGAAGAACGUUGGUGAGAGUGGAAAGCUCAUCAAGUGACGGUAACUACCCAGAAAGGGACGGCUAACUACGUGCCGA
rnacentral:rRNA from 1 species